GAUGAACGCUGGCGAAAUGCUUUACACAUGCAAGUUGUACGAAAGCUUUUAGCUUAAGUGGCGGACGGGUGAGUAAUACGUAAGAAUUUGCCUUUAGGAGGGGGAUAACAGCUGGAAACGGUUGCUAAUACCCCAUAUGCUUUUAAGUGAAAUGGGUUUCCGCCUAAAGAAAAGCUUACGGCUGAUUAGCUUGUUGGUAAGGUAAUGGCUUACCAAGGCGACGAUCAGUAGCCGACCUGAGAGGGUGAUCGGCCACACUGGAACUGAGACACGGUCCAGACUCCUACGGGAGGCAGCAGUGGGGAAUAUUGCACAAUGGGCG
rnacentral:rRNA from 1 species